CGGCUACCUGCAGUCGACGGUGAACACGGAGCUUGCUCUGUGGGAUCAGUGGCGAACGGGUGAGUAACACGUGAGCAACCUGCCCCUGACUCUGGGAUAAGCGCUGGAAACGGCGUCUAAUACUGGAUAUGUGACGUGACCGCAUGGUCUGCGUCUGGAAAGAAUUUCGGUUGGGGAUGGGCUCGCGGCCUAUCAGCUUGUUGGUGAGGUAAUGGCUCACCAAGGCGUCGACGGGUAGCCGGCCUGAGAGGGUGACCGGCCACACUGGGACUGAGACACGGCCCAGACUCCUACGGGAGGCAGCAGUGGGGAAUAUUGCACAAUGGGCGCAAGCCUGAUGCAGCAACGCCGCGUGAGGGACGACGGCCUUCGGGUUGUAAACCUCUUUUAGCAGGGAAGA
rnacentral:rRNA from 1 species